rnacentral:rRNA from 1 species
UCGCUUAGGAUGCUGGCGUAAUGGUUGUAAGCGGCCCGUCUUGAAACACGGACCAAGGAGUCUAACAUCUGUGCGAGUGUUUGGGUGUCAAACCCGUACGCGUAAUGAAAGUGAACGGAGGCGGGAACCCCUCGGGGUGCACCGUCGACCGAUCCUGAUGUCUUCGGAUGGAUUUGAGUAAGAGCAUAGCUGUUGGGACCCGAAAGAUGGUGAACUAUGCCUGAAUAGGGUGAAGCCAGAGGAAACUCUGGUGGAGGCUCGCAGCGGUUCUGACGUGCAAAUCGAUCGUCAAAUUUGGGCAUAGGGGCGAAAGACUAAUCGAACUAUCUAGUAGCUGGUUCCUGCCGAAGUUUCCCUCAGGAUAGCAGUAACGUUUUCAGUUUUAUGAGGUAAAGCGAAUGAUUAGAGGCCUGGGGGUUGAAACAACCUUCACCUAUUCUCAAACUUUAAAUAUGUAAGAAGUCCUUGUUACUUAGUUGAACGUGGACAUUUGAAUGUAUCGUUACUAGUGGGCCAUUUUUGGUAAGCAGAACUGGCGAUGCGGGAUGAACCGAACGCGGAGUUAAGGUGCCGGAAUGCACGCUCAUCAGACACCACAAAAGGUGUUAGUUCAUCUAG